GUAAGGGUUUAGGUGUCAUCUUGACACUAGGAGAGAGCUCCACAGGGGAGGGAAUUGGCUAAUCUCAAUUAUUUCUCUGUGUAAAAUUAUUUCUCUGUGUAAACUGCCCUGAGCCAUUUUUGGAAGGGUGGUAUAGAAAUCGAAUAAAUAAAUAAAUAUCAUCAUCUUCAUCAUCAGUUUCAGGACUGAUAACUGGACUGUGACUGACUAGCCCUGGCUGAAGGGCCUGAGGAGAGAAGGUGGUCUUUGGGGGGAACAGGGCCCCAGGAGUGAGUGUCAGAGGGAGCUCAGUGGGGAAUCUGAGGGGGGAAAGGUGGCUCAGGGAGGAGAGUGUGAGGGCAGACACACCAGAGGUGAUCUCCAGGGAAGGCAAAGGGGGAGCAGGUCUUGUGGCUCCAAUCUAGAAUCCUCCAGGAGGCUGUGUGCCAGAUCCAGCCAGCCAGCUAGCCUUGCCUUCAGCAACUGAAAACUGCUACAGAAUCUUCAGUGCUCAACUGUCAGCCACCAACUGAAAACCAACAGCUGGCUGGAAGGAAGAGAAAACAAGGCCACUCAUAGGUGUGCCUAGGUAUUGGAAAGACACAACUGGCACCAGACUGUGGCCAACUGGUUCCAUCUGCUCGAAUUGCAGGCGGUGCAGAGGCGGAGGCAUAUGCAUGGCCCUGGCAAGCUAGCCUGCGGAUUAUAAAGUUGCAUCAAUGUGGGGGGGACCCUCAUCUCCUCCCACUGGGUACUUACAGCUGCACAUUGCUUUAGCAGCCCAGAAGCGGUGGAAAUCCCUGUCAAGAAAAUAAUCAUCCAGUCCAACUACUCGGGAUAUAGAAAUGGCAGUGAUAUUGCCCUUGUGGAAUUGGAGACCCCUGUUAACUUCACCCACCACAUCCAUCCAGCCUGCAUUCCAGGGCCGAACAUCUUCUUCUCCCCCAGGUUGGGGUUGCUGGAUCGCAGGAUGGGGUGACAUCCAGCCAGGAGUCCUGCUCCCUGACCCAGAACCCCUACAGGAAGUACUGCUUCCAGUUGUGGAUUCUGCCACCUGUGAGGCCCUUUACUGCCAAUUUGAAAACAAAACCUUUACUGCCAAUUUGAAAACAAAACCCUUCAGAGGACCAGGAUAAUCAAGGAUGACAUGAUGUGUGCAGGAUAUUUGGAAGGGAAGAUGGAUGCAUGCCAGGGGGACUCUGGAGGACCACUGAUUUUCCCUUGGGAUGGGCUUGGCUCAUGGCUGGUGUGGUGAGCUGGGGCGAAGUUUGUGCCACUCCUAACAGCCCUGGCGUCUAUACCUGGGUCAGCGCCCACAGCAGUUGGAUCUUGAGACACGCUCCAGCAGUUGCUGCUAAUGUCAUCAAUAAAGGGAAUGGUGACCUCAGCAGGGAUCAUCCCUGGCUCCUGCUGCUAUCACUGCUAUGCUGCCUUCAUUAACCAUCUGGAGUGUGCUAGGUUCUGAAAUGAAUGAAUGAAUGAAUGAAUGAGGGCAUGUCUAGAUGACUGUUUCUGGCUGUUCUGGGAGUGAUCUCUGACCAAGCUGACAUGGGAAAGCUUUCUCAGUGAUAAUUCCCAGGUUAUGGAAUUUCUUUCUACUGAAAGAAUAUCUAGCUAUGUUUUGGAGGCAAUCUAAGAUUAAUUCGUUUGUUUAUUUGACCUUGCUUUUAGUGACCAAGGAUAAAUUUCAUGCAUUUUCUAUACUUGAACAAAAUUGCAGUUGAUAUAGAGCUCUGGCACCUCAUUGACAGUCAUGCUGUGCUACAUGGGAAGGCGGGAGGUCUGCAAUAGGUAUGCUGGCAGCUUCAAACAUUUUAAUGUAACAAUAAAUACAUAUUAUUAAUAAUUUGGUACCACUGGAGGAUCUAUUCAGACUUUUAUCAUUUUACUCAAAUGCAUCUUCUUUUCCGCUCAAUAACUCAUUGAGCGGCAAAAUUCAAUAACUAGGUACAGCAAUAGGCAGGGAGAAGAACCCAGACAGCAAGAAAGUAGUGAUUGGCAGGAGGUUCUUAGACUGGCUGUGAUAAGCAAGCAUUGCUCUGUUAGUCUUGUUAACUAAUAGCUGCACUGGGGAAACAGUGAGGUGAAAGGAUUGAACAGCCCUCUCACUUUGUUAUGGAACUAACAAAUAUAUGCCCCAUACAUGACUCUAAUCUGUCAGAGCUCAAGAUCCCCCCAAUAAACCCAGGAAUUCUGCUUUA